rnacentral:rRNA from 1 species
AGAGUUUGAUCCUGGCUCAGAACGAACGCUGGCGGCGUGCUUAACACAUGCAAGUCGAGUGCGCGCCUGUAGCAAUACAGGUGGCGCACGGCGCACGGGUGCGUAACACGUGGGUAAUCUGCCCUCUGAUGGGGAAUAACCCGCCGAAAGGCGGGCUAAUACCGCAUAACAUUCCUUGGAUUUCGGUCCGGGGACUCAAAGGCGUAAGUCGUCGGAGGAGGAGCCCGCGCACGAUUAGCUAGUUGGUAGGGUAAUGGCCUACCAAGGCUUUGAUCGUUAGCUGGUCUGAGAGGAUGGCCAGCCACACUGGAACUGAGACACGGUCCAGACUCCUACGGGAGGCAGCAGUGGGGAAUCUUGCACAAUGGGCGAAAGCCUGAUGCAGCGACGCCGCGUGGGGGAUGAAGCAUUUCGGUGUGUAAACCCCUUUCGAUCCGGACGAAUGCCUCGCAAGAGGAGUGACGGUACGGAUAUAAGAAGCCCCGGCUAACUACGUGCCAGCAGCCGCGGUAAGACGUAGGGGGCCAGCGUUGUUCGGAAUUACUGGGUGUAAAGGGUUCGUAGGCGGUGUGGCAAGUUGGGAGUGAAAUCUCUGGGCUCAACCCAGAGGCUGCUUCCAAAACUGCUGUGCUUGAGUGUGAGAGAGGCGCGUGGAAUUGCAGGUGUAGCGGUGAAAUGCGUAGAUAUCUGCAGGAACACCCGUGGCGAAAGCGGCGCGCUGGAUCACUACUGACGCUGAGGAACGAAAGCUAGGGGAGCAAACAGGAUUAGAUACCCUAGUAGUCC